GUCGAGCGGAUGAGUGGAGCUUGCUCCAUGAUUCAGCGGCGGACGGGUGAGUAAUGCCUAGGAAUCUGCCUGGUAGUGGGGGACAACGUUUCGAAAGGAACGCUAAUACCGCAUACGUCCUACGGGAGAAAGUGGGGGAUCUUCGGACCUCACGCUAUCAGAUGAGCCUAGGUCGGAUUAGCUAGUUGGUGAGGUAAAGGCUCACCAAGGCGACGAUCCGUAACUGGUCUGAGAGGAUGAUCAGUCACACUGGAACUGAGACACGGUCCAGACUCCUACGGGAGGCAGCAGUGGGGAAUAUUGGACAAUGGGCGAAAGCCUGAUCCAGCCAUGCCGCGUGUGUGAAGAAGGUCUUCGGAUUGUAAAGCACUUUAAGUUGGGAGGAAGGGCAGUAAGUUAAUACCUUGCUGUUUUGACGUUACCAACAGAAUAAGCACCGGCUAACUUCGUGCCAGCAGCCGCGGUAAUACGAAGGGUGCAAGCGUUAAUCGGAAUUACUGGGCGUAAAGCGCGCGUAGGUGGUUCGUUAAGUUGGAUGUGAAAGCCCCGGGCUCAACCUGGGAACUGCAUCCAAAACUGGCGAGCUAGAGUAUGGCAUAGGGUGGUGGAAUUUCCUGUGUAGCGGUGAAAUGCGUAGAUAUAGGAAGGAACACCAGUGGCGAAGGCGACCACCUGGGCUAAUACUGACACUGAGGUGCGAAAGCGUGGGGAGCAACCAGGAUUAGAUACCCUGGUAGUCCACGCCGUAAACGAUGUCGACUAGCCGUUGGGAUCCUUGAGAUCUUAGUGGCGCAGCUAACGCAUUAAGUCGACCGCCUGGGGAGUACGGCCGCAAGGUUAAAACUCAAAUGAAUUGACGGGGCCCGCACAAGCGGUGGAGCAUGUGGUUUAAUUCGAAGCAACGCGAAGAACCUUACCAGGCCUUGACAUGCAGAGAACUUUCCAGAGAUGGAUUGGUGCCUUCGGGAACUCUGACACAGUGUGCUGC
rnacentral:rRNA from 2 species